rnacentral:rRNA from 1 species
UACCAGCACCCCGAGUGGUCGGGACGAUUAUUGGGCCUAAAGCAUCCGUAGCCGGCCUUACAAGUCCUCCGUUAAAUCCAGCUGCUUAACAGAUGGGCUGCGGAGGAUACUAUAAGACUAGGAGGCAGGAGAGGCAAGCGGUACUCAGUGGGUAGGGGUAAAAAUCCGUUGAUCCAUUGAAGACCACCAGUGGCGAAGGCGGCUUGCCAGAAUGCGCUCGACGGUGAGGGAUGAAAGCUGGGGGAGCAACCGG